rnacentral:rRNA from 1 species
GAUGAACGCUGGCGGCGUGCCUAAUACAUGCAAGUCGAGCGAACAGACGAGGAGCUUGCUCCUCUGACGUUAGCGGCGGACGGGUGAGUAACACGUGGAUAACCUACCUAGAAGACUGGGAUAACUUCGGGAAACCGGAGCUAAUACCGGAUAACAUGUUGAACCGCAUGGUUCAACAGUGAAAGACGGUCUUGCUGUCACUUAUAGAUGGAUCCGCGCCGCAUUAGCUAGUUGGUAAGGUAACGGCUUACCAAGGCAACGAUGCGUAGCCGACCUGAGAGGGUGAUCGGCCACACUGGAACUGAGACACGGUCCAGACUCCUACGGGAGGCAGCAGUAGGGAAUCUUCCGCAAUGGGCGAAAGCCUGACGGAGCAACGCCGCGUGAGUGAAGAAGGUCUUCGGAUCGUAAAACUCUGUUAUUAGGGAAGAACAAAUGUGUAAGUAACUAUGCACGUCUUGACGGUACCUAAUCAGAAAGCCACGGCUAACUACGUG